rnacentral:lncRNA from 1 species
GCGCCGCCCGCCAGCGUUCUCCGAUUCCGCCGCGUCAGCUCCACGUGCCGACGUUCUCGGCGGAUGUUUAUGCAACGGACGAAAUAUGAUGCCAGUUCAACUCGAUGCCCGUCCACUCCAGCGCUGUAUCGGCAUUCUUACAAAGUUAGAACAUUGCCGAUACCCUGCCGUUGGUGGGCACUGUUAACUACUCCCCCUCUACAAGAGUCGUCGCCCUCGCACCUCUCAAGUUCUCUAUCAUUGCGUGGACCUGGACCAACUCCCUUAUCCUCUUGAGUAGGGAUCUGAGAUAGAGGAUGAUGCCGAUGACUCCACAGAAGGCUACU